AACGAACGUUGGCGGCGUGGAUUAGGCAUGCAAGUCGAGCGAAUCCCCGCAAGGGGGGAAGCGGCGAAAGGGGCAGUAAGGCAUGGGUAACCUACCCUGGGGACUGGGAUAGCCCUUCGAGAGAAGGGGUAAUACCGGGCGACGUGUCGGGCCGGCAUCGGUCUGCCACCAAAUGAAUUUCGCCCGGGGAGGGGCCGAGGUGAUAUUAGCUAGUUGGGAAGGUAACGGCUCACCAAGGCGAAGAUGUCUAGCGGGCGUGAGAGCACGACCCGCGCCACUGGCACUGAGACACUGGCCAGACACCUACGGGUGGCUGCAGUCGAGGAUCUUCGGCAAUGGGCGCAAGCCUGACCGAGCGACGCCGCGUGUGCGACGAAGGCCUUCGGGUUGUAAAGCACUGUCGAGAGGGAGAAAAGCGAAAGCUUGAUCUAUCUCUGGAGGAAGCACGGGCUAAGUUCGUGCCAGCAGCCGCAGUAACAC
rnacentral:rRNA from 1 species